UCCCGGUUUAAGCGUGUAGGCUGGUUUUCCAGGCAAAUCCGGAAAAUCAAGGCUGAGGCGUGAUGACGAGGCACUACGGUGCUGAAGCAACAAAUGCCCUGCUUCCAGGAAAAGCCUCUAAGCAUCAGGUAACAUCAAAUCGUACCCCAAACCGACACAGGUGGUCAGGUAGAGAAUACCAAGGCGCUUGAGAGAACUCGGGUGAAGGAACUAGGCAAAAUGGUGCCGUAACUUCGGGAGAAGGCACGCUGACACGUAGGUGAAGUGAUUUACUC
rnacentral:rRNA from 1 species